rnacentral:tRNA from 1 species
UUCAGUAUAGUUUAAUGAGAAUGUGAGUUUUGUAAAUUUGUGGUUAUUGCUGGCU